AUGUCAAGGUGGAAAGACCCUGCUAGAAAGAAGAUACCACAGAAAGUUUUGAGACAUUUUCCAUUGGUGCCUAGGCUGAAGAGGAUGUUUCUUUCCAAAAAAUCAUCAGAAGAAGCACAGUGGCACAAGCUAAAUAGGGAGCCCGGUGAGAAGGAAAUGAGUCAUCCAGCUGACGGUGAUGCGUGGCAACACUUUGAUAAAAAUAUAAGAAAUUUGCUAAGGAUGCCAGAAACAUCAGGCUUGGCAUCGCCACCGAUGGGUUCAAACCUUUCGGAAACUUUAACACAAACUAUAGUAUGUGACCUGUAUUUGUUGUGCCAUACAACCUUCCACCUUGGGCAUGCAUGGAUCAGUCAAAUUUCAUGGUGGCUCUAUUAA
rnacentral:rRNA from 1 species